AAAAAAAGUGCUAAGCACAUAGGGGCUAUGUGAACGGGAGGAGUCCUACUUCUACUUCUGUAGCGCUACACACACUGGACUCAAAAGUGCGUUUCUAAAGUGCCUCAUGCGCCCGCUUCUGUCCGUAGCAGCUUCCAGCCAGUGGAACAGCGCUGCGCUCGGUGACGUCCCAGUCGGUUUCCAUGGCAGCGGUUUCCAUGGACACGGGUACACAAAGCAAGAUGGCCGCUUUCCUCCAGUGGAGCUGUGAGGACGUGGCCCUGUGGGUGGAAUCCCUGGGUUAUCCGCAGUACAAGGCAUGUUUCGCUGAGAAUUUUAUAAAUGGAAGAAAACUGAUCUAUGUUAACUGUCACUAUCUACCAAGAAUUGGAAUCACCGAUUUUGAACAUAUGAAGGAUCUCUCUCAUCGCGUCCGGGAGCUCCUGAAUAUCGAAGAGCCUCUCUGGAACCGCAGCAUUGCGCUCCCCCG